rnacentral:rRNA from 1 species
ACGCUGGCGGCAUGCUUUACACAUGCAAGUCGGACGGCAGCACAGAGAAGCUUGCUUCUUGGGUGGCGAGUGGCGAACGGGUGAGUAAUAUAUCGGAACGUACCGAGUAAUGGGGGAUAACUAAUCGAAAGAUUAGCUAAUACCGCAUAUUCUCUGAGGAGGAAAGCAGGGGACCUUCGGGCCUUGCGUUAUUCGAGCGGCCGAUAUCUGAUUAGCUAGUUGGUGGGGUAAAGGCCUACCAAGGCGACGAUCAGUAGCGGGUCUGAGAGGAUGAUCCGCCACACUGGGACUGAGACACGGCCCAGACUCCUACGGGAGGCAGCAGUGGGGAAUUUUGGACAAUGGGCGCAAGCCUGAUCCAGCCAUGCCGCGUGUCUGAAGAAGGCCUUCGGGUUGUAAAGGACUUUUGUCAGGGAAGAAAAGGCUGUUGCUAAUACCGACAGCUGAUGACGGUACCUGAAGAAUAAGCACCGGCUAACUACGUGCCAGCAGCCGCGGUAAUACGUAGGGUGCGAGCGUUAAUCGGAAUUACUGGGCGUAAAGCGAGCGCAGACGGUUACUUAAGCAGGAUGUGAAAUCCCCGGGCUCAACCUGGGAACUGCGUUCUGAACUGGGUGACAAGAGUGUGUCAGAGGGAGGUAGAAUUCCACGUGUAGCAGUGAAAUGCGUAGAGAUGUGGAGGAAUACCGAUGGCGAAGGCAGCCUCCUGGGAUAACACUGACGUUCAUGCUCGAAAGCGUGGGUAGCAAACAGGAUUAGAUACCCUGGUAGUCCACGCCCUAAACGAUGUCAAUUAGCUGUUGGGCAACUUGAUUGCUUAGUAGCGUAGCUAACGCGUGAAAUUGACCGCCUGGGGAGUACGGUCGCAAGAUUAAAACUCAAAGGAAUUGACGGGGACCCGCACAAGCGGUGGAUGAUGU